UACAGAGACUGCAAGCGUUAUUCGGAUUCACUGGGCGUAAAGGGUGCGCAGGCGGUUGGGUGUGUCAGAUGUGAAAUCCCGAGGCUUAACCUCGGAACUGCGUCUGAUACUGGAUGGCUUGAGGUUGGGAGAGGGAUGCGGAAUUCCAGGUGUAGCGGCGAAAUGCGUAGAUAUCUGGAGGAACACCGGUGGCGAAGGCGGCAUCCUGGACCAAUUCUGACGCUGAGGAGCGAAAGCCAGGGGAGCAAACGGG
rnacentral:rRNA from 1 species